AGGAGAUUGGAGAUUGAACUACAUGGAGUCCGAGCCUCCUCCUGACUCUGCCUGUACAGAACAAACCCCAUUGUACCUCCACAGUGCAUGUCCUCAUUAAUGUUUCACUGGUGAACUGAGUUGCCUCUGCCUGAGAAGAGGUGGUAAAGAUGAGCUCGGGAACAAAAGGGACAUUGUGCUAAACUCCCACCAUUAGUGACUGAGUGCAUUGUUCACCAGCCUGAGAGGACUACACAUCCAAAUGCUUUGACCUUCGGUUCCCAGACAUUUGUGGGUAUUAAAGAAAUGGACUGGAACUCCCCCAUCCCAUCCUCACUUGGUGCUCUGCUCUCUCUGGGAGACCACAGCUUGAUCAUCCUGUGACUACUAGGAAGACACCAACCUGGCAGCAGCCUCCUGGGAGAAGAGAGGCUCCAAGCUGGAGUUGUCCUCACUGGCAAGCCUCCUCUGUAGGAGGUUAAGCAGUGGGAGUCAGAGUUCUGAAGGAAAGGGUCUCCUUCAGCCUGGGUGUCACCUGCCUGUCAUUGAAGAUGGCAUAGGGCUUUUCACUUCUCCACAGCAACAGUGGUGUGGUCUGAAGCUCAUCAUUGCUGAGUUCUGUCUGCAUGUAUGCCUGCCGGUGAGAAGAGGGCACCAGACCUCAUUACAGAUGGUUGUGAACCACCAUGUGGUUGCUGGGAAAUGAACUCAGAACCUCUGGAAGAGCAGCCAGUGCUCUUAACUGCUGAGCCAUCUCUCCAGCUCCGGCAUUAAGUUUUUGGUAAUUUUUUCUUUCAAUAGCCACAAGAAACUAAUAUAAUCAUGAAAACCAAGAAAGGAAGCUGGGGAAAUAAAGUGCUUAACGUGUUAGUAUGAGGACUGUGUUUUACCCCUAGAACUCAUGCAAACAUCUGG
rnacentral:lncRNA from 1 species